rnacentral:rRNA from 1 species
CCUACGGGAGGCAGCAGUGGGGAAUAUUGCACAAUGGGGGAAACCCUGAUGCAGCGACGCCGCGUGAGCGAUGAAGUAUUUCGGUAUGUAAAGCUCUAUCAGCAGGGAAGAAAAUGACGGUAUCUGACUAAUAAGCACCGGCUAACUCCGUGCCAGCAGCCGCGGUAAUACGGAGGGGGCAAGCGUUACCCGGAUUUACUGGGUGUAAAGGGAGCGUAGGCGGCGGUGUAAGACAGAUGUGAAAGCCUGUGGCUCAACCCCGGAACUGCAUUUGAAACUGUUAGGCUGGAGUGUCGGAGAGGCAGGCGGAAUUCUUGGUGUAGGGGUGAAAUGCGUAGAGAUUAGGAGGAACACCAGUGGCGAAGGCGACCUGCUGGAAGAUGACUGACGUUGAGGCACGAAAGCGUGGGGAGCGAACAGGAUUAGAUACCCGAGUAGUC